GAAACCCUGAUGCAGCGAUGCCGCGUGAGCGAUGAAGGUCUUCGGAUUGUAAAGCUCUGUCCUUAGGGAAGAAUAUUGACGGUACCUAAGGAGGAAGCCCCGGCUAACUACGUGCCAGCAGCCGCGGUAAUACGUAGGGGGCGAGCGUUGUCCGGAAUCACUGGGCGUAAAGGGAGCGUAGGCGGCUCUGUAAGUCAGAUGUUAAAGGCAUUGGCUCAACCAAUGUAAGCAUUUGAAACUGCAGGGCUUGAGUACAGGAGAGGAGAGUGGAAUUCCUAGUGUAGCGGUGAAAUGCGUAGAUAUUAGGAGGAACACCAGUGGCGAAGGCGACUCUCUGGACUGUUACUGACGCUGAGGCUCGAAAGCGUGGGGAGCAAACAGGAUUAGAUACCCUGGUAGUCC
rnacentral:rRNA from 1 species